rnacentral:rRNA from 1 species
UGACCUCAAAUCAGGUAAGAAUACCCGCAGAACUUAAGCAUAUCAAUAAGCGGAGGAAAAGAAAAUAACAAUGAUUCCCUUAGUAACGGCGAGUGAAGGGGGAAAAGCUCAAAUUUUAAAUCUGCUAGGUUUUACUUAUCAGAAUUGUAAUUUGAAGAAGCGUUUUCCGCGUCUUGGUUGGCCCAAAUCCUUUGGGAUAAGGUAUCAUGGAGGGUGAGAAUCCCGUUCGGUUGACCUUAUGACGCUCUACGAUACGCUCUCUAAGAGUCGAGUUGUUUGGGAUUGCAGCUCAAAAUGGGAGGUAAAUUUCUCCUAAGGCUAAAUAUCGGCGAGAGACCGAUAGCGAACAAGUACCGUGAGGGAAAGAUGAAAAGAACUUUGAAAAGAGAGUAAAAUAGUACGUGAAAUUGUUGAAAGGGAAACGAUUGAAGUCAGUCAUACCGACGAGAAAUCAACUUAUCGUGUGCGAACUUGUGGGCGUGCGUGAGUUUCGGCCUCGCUGUUUGCAUGUUUGUGCGUUUUGGGUGUACUUUUUCGUAUGGUAGGCCAACGUCAGUUUCGAUUAUCAUAAAAUGACCGGCGGAAUGUAGCUUCGAUUUCGGUUGAAGUGUUAUAGCCUCUGGUAGAUGUGGUGAUUGAGACUGAGGAUUGCAACGAAUACCCUUUGGGCUAUCCGUCUGGCCUCUGAAAGUUGCUCAGGUGCCGAAAGCGUGCUUACGGUCAUCUAAGAUAACGUUCAACAGGUUAGAACGUGAUUACAUUCGUCAAGGACGUUGGCGUAAUGGCUUUAAACGACCCGUCUUGAAACACGGACCAAGGAG